CAGUGAUCCAAGAUUAAGAGCGACGUAAUAGUAGCUGAAGAAGGCCGUUUUCGACUUGUUCUCCUCUGCGUCUUCCUCGUCGAACUGAUCUGCGCCCAGCGUCGCCAUUGCCGGUUCUAUGGCCCCACUCCCCAAAGCUACUCAAAAUCAGUAAAGAGUUCGAUGCGGAGAAGCUCAUUUCAAGCGAAGAACGAGGCGAGGCGAGCGACUUACAAUGACUAAAACAGCUUGAAAUACAACACAGGUUAGGUAUCUUCCCAAGUAUGAGUCACUGAGAAAAGCCCCCAACAGAGUGCAGAUGUUGAGAGUUCCCAUCCACGUACUGAACGUUUUCGCUGCAUCCGCGUUCGUCUGCCUCAACACGGAUUUCGAGAAAAGCACCAUGUUUACUUCUACUCCGGUAAACGCAAGAGCAGCAAGUCCUUCACUCACUGAAAACAAUAAUGCAGAAAACAGAUAUGGAUUAUAUGAGAGUUGAUCAUAUGAAAGUACCAAGAACCAGAGAUCCUGCUCUCCAUCCACCCGUUCUGUCUCGUGCUGCUGGCUUUCCAUACACGUCGAGCGUCCCAUCUUUCGUGCAUUCAUCUAGAAGCCCCGUUCCUCGUUCCUGCAUGCCGUAGAUGAAGCUGAAUGAGAUCUCUGAGUCUAGAGAAGGCGCAGCUGAGGGAGUAAGAUGAAAAAGGAUGAUGUCAAUCGGGACAAUCCAUCGGGUUUCGAGCUAGCCAGCGGGGCCCAAAAAGAUAAAAGAGAGUGCUGAAGCUUCAAUCAUAUCUGUUGCAUCUUCUUCAACAACAUGCGAGAGAUCAAAUCUUUGUAAAGUGGAAAAGAGAUGGGGCCAAGAGAGAUUUUCUCAAUCAUUGUGUUUUGCAUUUAUUAACGUGGAAAACAUGGAAACGACAAACAAACAUGGAAAUGAAAUGAGUUGUGCUCGAGAAUAAAUGAAAAAUUAUGGCUGCUUGACAAACUGCAUU